GGGCCCGUCGCCUAGCUAGGACAGGGCGCCGGCCUCCUAAGCCGGAGGUCCCGGGUUCAAAUCCCGGCGGGCCCG
rnacentral:tRNA from 1 species